rnacentral:rRNA from 1 species
CCUACGGGUGGCAGCAGUGGGGAAUAUUGCACAAUGGGCGCAAGCCUGAUGCAGCCAUGCCGCGUGUGUGAAGAAGGCCUUCGGGUUGUAAAGCACUUUCAGCGGGGAGGAAGGCGUUAAGGUUAAUAACCUUGUCGAUUGACGUUACCCGCAGAAGAAGCACCGGCUAACUCCGUGCCAGCAGCCGCGGUAAUACGGAGGGUGCAAGCGUUAAUCGGAAUUACUGGGCGUAAAGCGCACGCAGGCGUUCUGUCAAGUCGGAUGUGAAAUCCCCGGGCUCAACCUGGGAACUGCAUUCGAAACUGGCAGGCUAGAGUCUUGUAGAGGGGGGUAGAAUUCCAGGUGUAGCGGUGAAAUGCGUAGAGAUCUGGAGGAAUACCGGUGGCGAAGGCGGCCCCCUGGACAAAGACUGACGCUCAGGUGCGAAAGCGUGGAGAGCAAACAGGAUUAGAUACCCGAGUAGUC